rnacentral:rRNA from 1 species
GACGAACGCUGGCGGCGUGCUUAACACAUGCAAGUCGAACGGAAACGCCCUGCUUUUGUGGGGUGCUCGAGUGGCGAACGGGUGAGUAACACGUGAGUAACCUGCCCUUGACUUUGGGAUAACUUCAGGAAACUGUGGCUAAUACCGGCUAGCAGCUCCUGCUGCAUGGGGGGGGUUGGAAAGUUUCGGCGGUUGGGGAUGGACUCGGGGCUUAUCAGCUUGUUGGUGGGGUAGUGGCUUACCAAGGCUUUGACGGGUAGCCGGCCUGAGAGGGUGACCGGCCACAUUGGGACUGAGAGACGGCGCUGACGCGUACGGGGGGCAGCGGUGGGGAAUAUUGCACAAUGGGCGGAAGCCUGAUGCAGCAACGCCGCGUGCGGGAUGACGGCCUUCGGGUUGUAAACCGCUUUCGCCUGUGACGAAGCGUGAGUGACGGUAAUGGGUAAAGAAGCACCGGCUAACUACGUG